rnacentral:lncRNA from 1 species
GGAAGUUGUUCAAGCCUUCUGCAUCCUGUUGCUCUUCUGCUCGGUUGCAUCCAUUCUGGGAAAGUCGGGUAUUGAAGUCUCCAGAUUAAUACGGUUGAAAGCAAGAAUUCCAAACUUCAAAACUAAGCAGUCUCUGAAGAAUGGAGAUGGCAGGCGUUCUGCUCCCUUACAGCAGCUGGUAGAAUCAAGACCCAUGGGUCCAUGGAGGAAAAGGGGAAGAGCCUCUGUCCUUUGGACCCCUGAUCCCGGGGUUUCCUCUCACACUCCCAUCAUCGCCGUCUCCUCUGUGUGCUGUGCUUAUCAGCCCUGUGGGCUCCAUGGACAUCUCAUGUGCCUGGGAGGCUGCUCUCCUUGUCCUGUGGAUCCAGUUCUUGGCAGCCCCACUCUCAGGAGCACAGGAGUCCUGAGAGCCUCCUUCUGCCCAUCCAGAUGCCCACACACCUGACCAGGAGUGCACUGCUUGUUCUGACAUAAAAAAUUCCUGACCAGAAGCAGAUGCUAGCACCAUGCUUCCUGUACUGUCUACAGAAUUGUGAGCCAAAUAAAUUUCUUUCCCUUAUAAAUGACCCAGUCUCAGGUAUUCCUUUAUAGCAAUGCAAAAUGGACUAAGAUGUGAAUACCACUCUCAUGGUUCUUCAAAUACCUCACAAUCA